AAGUCGUAACAAGGUUUCCGUAGGUGAACCUGCGGAAGGAUCAUUGCAAAUCUGAGAAGAUGGAGGGAGAUGAGUGGAGUGAGGGAGAAUUUACUCUCUUAUUGCAUCUCAUUCUCUCUAUCUCAUAAAGCACAGAGCCCUGCGCUCUGAUGUCUGCGCUUGUAUUGUUUGACAGAGUAAUAGUUUAUACAUUAUAAAACAUUCAACAAUGGAUCUCUUGGCUCUU
rnacentral:misc_RNA from 1 species